GUAGGGGGCGAGCGUUGUCCGGGAUUUAUUGGGGCGUAAAGAGCUCGUAGGCGGCUCAGCAAGUCGGCCGUGAAAGCCUGAGGGCUCAACCUCAGGACGCCGGUCGAAACUGCUGUGGCUAGGGUUCGGUAGAGGAGAGUGGAAUUCCCGGUGUAGCGGUGAAAUGCGCAGAUAUCGGGAGGAACACCAGUAGCGAAGGCGGCUCUCUGGGCCGAUACCGACGCUGAGGAGCGAAAGCUAGGGGAGCGAACAGGAUUAGAUACCCUGGUAGUCCUAGCUGUAAACGUUGGGCACUAGGUGUGGCGGACUCAUUGACGUCUGCCGUGCCGAAGCUAACGCAUUAAGUGCCCCGCCUGGGGAGUACGGUCGCAAGGCUA
rnacentral:rRNA from 1 species